rnacentral:rRNA from 1 species
AUUGAACGCUGGCGGCAGGCCUAACACAUGCAAGUCGAGCGAGCGGCGGACGGGUGAGUAAUGUGUGGGAAAGUGCCUGAUGGAGGGGGAUAACUACUGGAAACGGGAUCUAAUACCGCAUACUCUGAGAUACGCCCAUAUGGGAUUAGCUAGGAGGUGGGGUAAUGGCUCACCUAGGCGACGCUCCCUAGCUGGUCUGAGAGGAUGACCAGCCACACGGGAACUGAGACACGGCCCAGACUCCUACGGGAGGCAGCAGUGGGGAAUAGUGCACAAUGGGCGCAAGCCUGAUGCAGCCAGGCCGCGUGUAUGAAGAAGGCCUUCGGGUUGUAAAGCACUUUUAGCGGGGAGGCGUUACUCGCAGAAGAAGCACCGGCUAACUCCGUGCCAGCAGCCGCGGUAAUUC